AGUUCACGAGAAACAGGGUAUACAGUCUGCUACACAACGAUGGAAGAAAGAAGAGAAAAAGAGAAAGAGAAAAAGAGAUCCUGGCGUUUUCUGCGGGUAGUCUCUAAAGCGAGUCAAUAUCACAAAGCCGCAAUGUUCUUGGAUAUGCUGAAGAAUGUAUAGCAGCGCCAGAUCAGUUAGAUCGAGCGUGUUUCGUUUCGACCAAUUUACGGCAGAAAAAGCAGAAGAAAUAAUAAGAACGAUUUGUUUGGAGAAAAGGUUUCUGCGUUUAUCCUUGAAUGUGUUUGAAGAGUUUUUCAUCAUCAGAUACAAUUUGUCUGGAAUGCAUCUUAAAGAACAAUCGGAAAUGCGUGUCUUAGCUAAUCGUAUAUUUCUCUGCAUCUGAGAAAGAGGAUACAGUGUUUACAUAUUUUAGUAUAAAUUACAAGUAACAUACCGUUUAAUCACAGAUUUCGUGUAGUAGAUAGGCAAUGAGUAGCAGUUUGUAGGCCUGCAAGGUAGACUGAAAAAAACCGGUUUUACUUAAUGACGGACUACCUUCUUUGCAGCCACAAGCCGGACCGAUUUUAACGUAGUUUUUUGGUUUCAAUAAUACUGCGGCAGAAUUAUGAUCUAUUUUCGCAGAAAAUGGCCACUGCGCGUUUUAUUUACGGCAAGUUCGGUAAAAUUAUAUGUAUAUUCAAUUCUACAACAUGUGUCAAUCUGUGAAACUAAAUUACUUUAAUAGACUACUCUUUUUGAAGAAAAAGAUUUUCGUGUUUGUAUUUUUAU